rnacentral:rRNA from 1 species
UUUACGGGAGGCAGCAGUGGGGAAUAUUGGGCAAUGGAGGCAACUCUGACCCAGCCAUGCCGCGUGAAGGAUGACUGCCCUAUGGGUUGUAAACUUCUUUUAUAUGGGAAGAAACUUAUCUACGUGUAGAUAACUGACGGUACCAUACGAAUAAGGAUCGGCUAACUCUGUGCCAGCAGCCGCGGUAAU